UACGUAGGGUGCAAGCGUUAUCCGGAAUUAUUGGGCGUAAAGCGUCCGCAGGUGGCACUUCAAGUCUGCUGUCAAAGACCGGGGCUUAACCCUGGAAAGGCAGUGGAAACUGAAGCGCUAGAGUGUGGCAGGGGUAGAGGGAAUUCCCGGUGUAGCGGUGAAAUGCGUAGAUAUCUGCAGGAACACCCGUGGCGAAAGCGGCGCGCUGGACCACUACUGACGCUGAGGAACGAAAGCUAGGGGAGCAAACAGG
rnacentral:rRNA from 1 species